rnacentral:rRNA from 1 species
GGGGAAUCUUAGACAAUGGGGGAAACCCUGAUCUAGCCAUGCCGCGUGAGCGAUGAAGGCCUUAGGGUUGUAAAGCUCUUUCGUGGGGGAAGAUAAUGACUGUACCCCAAGAAGAAGCCCCGGCUAACUCCGUGCCAGCAGCCGCGGUAAUACGGAGGGGGCUAGCGUUGUUCGGAAUUACUGGGCGUAAAGCGCACGUAGGCGGACCAGAAAGUCAGAGGUGAAAGCCCAGGGCUCAACCUUGGAACUGCCUUUGAAACUCCUGGUCUUGAGGUCGAGAGAGGUGAGUGGAAUUCCGAGUGUAGAGGUGAAAUUCGUAGAUAUUCGGAGGAACACCAGUGGCGAAGGCGGCUCACUGGCUCGAUACUGACGCUGAGGUGCGAAAGCGUGGGGAGCAAAC